rnacentral:lncRNA from 1 species
ACAAAAGUCUUUUUUUUUUUUUCCCCUCCUCCAUGUACAGAAGAACUUCCCAAAAUAUUUCACGUGAACUCUACGGCCAGGAGCAUCCUACCAGGUUGAAUCUUCAGGAAUGGCAUGUUGAUGAAUUGAUGCAAGGUUCAUUGCCAGCACUGUCUUGCAUAUUUUAUGAGGAUCCUAGUACUGACCUGGCUGUGGGUGAAAACAUGUUAUGACCAGAAGGUACAUGCAGCAUGGUUUUUGCACAUGAAGUUGCGUCAUUCCUGGUGUUUACUUAUUGACUGUUUUCCCACACUUUUAAGGGAAUAUAUAGAAAAGUAGCACCAGAGACAGAUCCUUGCUAGAUGAAAACCAUCAGACUUUGGGUGAAGCAGGAGAACUUUGACACAGAAGGGAACAUUUCCUUCGUCAUUAUUUGACAAGACUGGUGUCUCUAAACAGGACCAAGGAUUAGACUGUAGUGAAUAAAUUUAUAAAACACCUGUCA